AUUGAACGCUGGCGGCAGGCCUAACACAUGCAAGUCGAACGAGUGGCGGACGGGUGAGUAAUGUCUGGGAAACUGCCUGAUGGAGGGGGGUAACUACUGGAAACGGUCGCUAAUACCGCAUACCAUCAGAUGGGCCCAGAUGGGAGUCGCUUGUUGGUGGGGUAAAGGCUCACCGCGGCGACGAUCCCUAGCUGGUCUGAGAGGAUGAGCGGCUACACUGUGACUGUGACACGGUCCAGACGCCUACGGUAGGCAGCAGUGGGGAAUUUUGCGCAAUGGGCGCAAGCCUGAUGCAGCCAUGCCGCGUGGAUGAAGAGGGCCUUAGGGUUGUAAAGUACUUUCAGCGGGGAGGCGUUACCCGCAGAAGAAGCACCGGCUAACUCCGUGCCAGCAGCCGCGGUAAUAC
rnacentral:rRNA from 1 species